rnacentral:rRNA from 1 species
GAGUCCAGCGCUGAAUCCUUUCGCAUUUGAGUGGCGAACUGGAAAUGUGGCGUAUAGGUGUGGCAUGAAUUUGCAUUUCGUGUACGUCGCGCACACCCAAAGUUCCCUUGAGCGGGGCCAUUGAUCCGUAGAAGGUGAAAGACCUGUACGGGUGGUGCGACGUGUACGAUCGAUGUUCACACUUUGGAGUCGGGUUGCCUGAGAUCGCAGCCCAAAGAAGGUGGUAGACUUCAUCUAAGACUAAAUAUGACCACAAGACCGAUAGCAAACAAGUACCGUGAGGGAAAGUUGCAAAGAACUUUGAAGAGAGAGUUCAAUAGGACGUGAAACCGAUAGAAUUGAAGCGGAUAGAGUUGACGAAAUUCGUUUACAUUCAGCCGAGCGGGUUGUUGUCCACCGCUGUUCGCGAUUUAUGUACGCUCAUCUGUUGUGUGCUGCCUCGUGCAUACACGGCAGGUGUUGGGUGCUAUCGUCUGUGCAGCGCCGUGUGCACAACGAUCGACGCUCGGUGCAUUUGUUCAUGAUUUGCGCCGUGCUCAUCGAUAGCUAAAGCAAGUUCCGCUGCGGUAUAGCAGGCCAGUUGACGACUGUCUUUCAGUUGUGGCUGGUGCAAUUUUUGUAUGAGCAGGCGCAGUACGUAUGUGCAAAAGUGGCUAUUGAUGCGCAUGCAUGUGUCGUCGUGUGUUGUCGUACAUCGCGCGAUUUUCCAAAUCGUAUGUAUUGCCGGUGUGCGCGUGUGACUUUCUUGCGCACCACCGACGACACUAAUAACUGAUCACGGUGUGAACGUCAAUCAUCUAUCCGACCCGUCUUGAAACACGGACCAAGGAGUUUAGCACAUGCGCGAGUCAUUGAAUACUGCAAAAUUCAUAGGCGUAAUGAAAGUGAAUUUGUGCCCCUCAGGAGCAUAUAAAUAUGGGAUCGGUGUGUCUGUGUGUGCCUCCAGAAGGGUGCACAUGUGUACGCGACACCGAGCACCAUAGCCCCGUUUGCCUUUGAGCGCAAUGGUCCACCAUGCUUUGGGUGAACUGACGAAUUGAACGGAGGAAGAGCGUAUGGGCUGAGACCCGAAAGAUGGUGAACUAUGCCUGAGCAGGACGAAGCCAGAGGAAACUCUGGUGGAAGUUCGAAGCGAUUCUGAAGUGCAAACC